UACGUAGGGUGCAAGCGUUGUCCGGAAUUAUUGGGCGUAAAGAGCUCGUAGGCGGUUUGUCGCGUCGAAUGUGAAAACCCGGGGCUCAACCCCGGGCCUGCAUUCGAUACGGGCAGACUAGAGUUCGGUAGGGGAGUCUGGAAUUCCUGGUGUAGCGGUGAGAUGCGCAGAUAUCAGGAGGAACACCGGUGGCGAAGGCGGGACUCUGGGCCGAUACUGACGCUGAGGAGCGAAAGCGUGGGUAGCGAACAGG
rnacentral:rRNA from 1 species